rnacentral:misc_RNA from 1 species
GCAAACUUGGUCAUUUAGAGGAAGUAAAAGUCGUAACAAGGUUUCCGUAGGUGAACCUGCGGAAGGAUCAUUAGUGAUUGCCAUCUUGGCUUAAACUAUAUCCAUCUACACCUGUGAACCGUUUGACUGAAUCUGAUUCAGUUUUACAAACAUUGUGUAAUGAACGUCAUUAGAUCAUAACUAAAAAAACUUUUAACAACGGAUCUCUUGGCUCUCGCAUCGAUGAAGAACGCAGC